UUCCUCAUGUCGGGCUCCAGAUAAAAAAACAAUUAGCAGUCAUGCUCACUUCAAGCAAAUAAAUAUGAAUAAAUGUCUUUAUCAAACAGCAACGAUUGCUGUCAAAUGACACAAAGAACUGCGGCGUAAAAACACAAAGGAACAGACAUUCAUGUCUGUCUGUGUGUGUGUGUGUGUGUGU